rnacentral:rRNA from 1 species
AUUGAACGCUGGCGGCAGGCCUAACACAUGCAAGUCGAGCGAGCGGCGGACGGGUGAGUAAUGUCUGGGAAACUGCCUGAUGGAGGGGGAUAACUACUGGCAACGGUAGCUCAUACCGCAUACCAUCGGAUGUGCCCAGAUGGGAUUAGCUAGUAGGUGGGGUAAAGGCUCACCAAGGCGACGAGCCAUACCUGGUCUGAGAGGAGGACCAGCCACAAUGGAACUGAGACACAGUCCAGACUCCUACGGGAGGCAGCAGUGGGGAAGAUUGCACAAGGGGCGCAAGCCUGAUGCAGCCAUGCCGCGUGUGUGAAGAAGGCCUUCGGGGUGUAAAGUACUUUCAGCGGGGAGGCGUUACUCGCAGAAGAAGCACCGGCUAACUCCGUGCCAGCAGCCGCGGUAAUAC